GCACGAAUGGCGUAAUGAUGGCCAGGCUGUCUCCACCCGUGCCCCAGUGAAAUUG
rnacentral:rRNA from 1 species